rnacentral:rRNA from 1 species
GGAGGGGGUUAGCGUUGUUCGGAAUUACUGGGCGUAAAGCGCGCGUAGGCGGAUUACAAAGUUGGGGGUGAAAUCCCGGGGCUCAGCCUCGGAACUGCCUCCAAAACUGCUAGUCUAGAGUUCGAGAGAGGUGAGUGGAAUUCCGAGUGUAGAGGUGAAAUUCGUAGAUAUUCGGAGGAACACCAGAGGCGAAGGCGGCUCACUGGCUCGAUACUGACGCUGAGGUGCGAAAGUGUGGGGAGCAAACAGGAUUACAUACCCUGGUAGUCCACACCGUAAACGAUGAAUGCCAGUCGUCGGGUAGUAUACUAUUCGGUGACACACCUAACGGAUUAAGCAUUCCGCCUGGGGAGUACGGUCGCAAGAUUAAAACUCAAAGGAAUUGACGGGGGCCCNCACAAGCGGUGGAGCAUGUGGUUUAAUUCGAAGCAACNCCCANAACUUACCCACCCUUGACAUCCUGUGCUACUCCAAANAUGGAUGGUUCCCUUCCGGGACGCAGUGACAGUNGCUGCAUGGCUGUCNUCNCUCC